rnacentral:rRNA from 1 species
GACGGAGGAUGCAAGUGUUAUCCGGAAUCACUGGGCGUAAAGCGUCUGUAGGUGGUUUAAAAAGUCCACUGUUAAAAAUUGAAGCUUAACUUCAAAGAUGCCGUGGAAACUUUUAAACUUGAGUAUGAUAGGGGUAGAGGGAAUUUCCAGUGGAGCGGUGAAAUGCGUAGAUAUUGGAAAGACCACCAAUGGCGAAGGCACUCUACUGGGCCAUUACUGACACUGAGAGACGAAAGCUAGGGGGAGCGAAUGGG